AGUAAAGAGCAAGAAUUAAAUGUUAAUGGUUAGUGUUAGUAGUUAGUGUGCCAUAAGGAAAAUUUAGCGCUAUGUUAAGCAAUCGUAAUUGGACUUAUGUAGAAGUCACAACUAUCUGAGGCCGGUCAAUAAUAAUGUAGGCAACAACACAAGUUAGAAGUCUUGAUUAGUGAACCAAGUUCCAACAACUUGCCAUGCCAAAAGGAAGAAGAGAAUUGAUCUUGUAUUGGUUUAAGCCUUUUGCAU
rnacentral:lncRNA from 1 species